AUUGAACGCUGGCGGCAGGCUUAACACAUGCAAGUCGAGCGGAGAUGAGGUGCUUGCACCUUAUCUUAGCGGCGGACGGGUGAGUAAUGCUUAGGAAUCUGCCUAUUAGUGGGGGACAACAUUCCGAAAGGAAUGCUAAUACCGCAUACGCCCUACGGGGGAAAGCAGGGGAUCUUCGGACCUUGCGCUAAUAGAUGAGCCUAAGUCGGAUUAGCUAGUUGGUGGGGUAAAGGCCUACCAAGGCGACGAUCUGUAGCGGGUCUGAGAGGAUGAUCCGCCACACUGGGACUGAGACACGGCCCAGACUCCUACGGGAGGCAGCAGUGGGGAAUAUUGGACAGUGGGGGGAACCCUGAUCCAGCCAUGCCGCGUGUGUGAAGAAGGCCUUAUGGUUGUAAAGCACUCUAAGCGAGGAGGAGGCUACUGAGACUAAUACUCUUGGAUAGUGGACGUUACUCGCAGAAUAAGCACCGGCUAACUCUGUGCCAGCCGCCGCGGUAAUAC
rnacentral:rRNA from 1 species